UCUUUGAUUAGGUCCUUGUCUAUGUUCCUUGGAACAGGACGUCAUAGAGGGUGAGAAUCCCGUUUGGCGAGGAUACCUUUUCUCUGUAAGACUUUUUCGAAGAGUCGAGUUGUUUGGGAAUGCAGCUCAAAGUGGGUGGUAAAUUCCAUCUAAAGCUAAAUAUUGGCGAGAGACCGAUAGCGAACAAGUACAGUGAUGGAAAGAUGAAAAGAACUUUGAAAAGAGAGUGAAAAAGUACGUGAAAUUGUUGAAAGGGAAGGGCAUUUGAUCAGACAUGGUGUUUUUUGCAUGCACUCGCCUCUCGUGGGCUUGGGCCUCUCAAAAAUUUCACUGGGCCAACAUCAAUUCUGGCAGCAGGAUAAAUCAUUAAGAAUGUAGCUACUUCGGUAGUGUUAUAGCUUUUUGGAAUACUGUUAGCCGGGAUUGAGGACUGCGCUUCGGCAAGGAUGUUGGCAUAAUGGUUAAAUGCCGCCCGUCUUGAAACACGGACCA
rnacentral:rRNA from 1 species